rnacentral:misc_RNA from 1 species
CGCACCUUGCACUCCUUGGUAUUCCGAGGAGUAUGCCUGUUUGAGUGUCUUGUAAUCAUCAAUUCAACAUUGCUUUUGUGAUGUUGACUUGGAUUUGGGGACUGCUGGUCUUAACAGACUGGCUUCUCUUGAAUGCAUUAGUGGAAUCGAGUUACAAUGCUACGUGUAGUGUGAUAAUAUCUUCACUGCAUAGUUGUAAUGAAGUUCUGCUUCUAACAGUCCUUCGUUGGACAAUACUUGACCAUUUGACCUCAAAUCAGGUAGGACUACCCGCUGAACUUAA